GGCACCUCUGUGCGGCCAUCGGGAGCCGGGCGGGGCUUUGCGCCCGGCUCCCGAUGGCCGUGCAGAGCUGUGCU